GACGAACGCUGGCGGCGUGCCUAACACAUGCAAGUCGAACGAAAAGGCCGGGCUUUUGUGCGGUGCUCGAGGGGAGAACGGGGGAGUAACACGUGAGUAACGUGUACCUGAGUGUGGGAUAUCUUCAGGAAGCAGGGGCUAUUACCGCAUAGGAGCUAUUGCUCCAGGAUGAGCGCUCGUAAGAUUCGGCGGUUGGGGAUGUACAAGCGGGUUAUCAGCUUGAUGGUGGGGUAGUGGCUUACCAAGGCUAUGAAGGGUAGCCGGCCUGCGAGGGUGACCGGCCACAUUGGGACUGAGAUACGGCCCAGACUCCUCCGGGAGGCAGCAGUGGGGAAUAUUGCACAAUGGGCGGAAGCCUGAUGCAGCAACGCCGCGUGCGGGAUGACGGCCUUCGGGUUGUAAACCGCUUUCGCCUGUGACGAAGCGUGAGUGACGGUAAUGGGUAAAGAAGCACCGGCUAACUACGUG
rnacentral:rRNA from 1 species